rnacentral:lncRNA from 1 species
GUGAGAUCCAGGGAGAGCCAGAAGUGAGGCGCCCAGAGAAGUGUUCACUUGUGGCUCGAAGUCCAGGUGUGAUACUGCAUGAAAACCCCCCGAUUUGGCCAUCCAGAGCAUGGUAAUCAAGAAACGCCUAGAUGUUUCCAAAAAUGGAUUGGGUGUCCCUCCAAGUGUUCAUGAAAAGGUUGAAUUUCCUCUUGGUGGGGAGUUACAGAGGAGAUUAGCAGAUCAGGCUGAAUUAGGGACAUGGAUGAAGCUGGAAACCAUCAUCCUCAGCAAACUAACACAGGAACAGAAAACCAAACACCGCAUGUUCUCACUCGUAAGUGGGAGUUGAACAAUGAGAACACAUGGACACAGGGAGGGGAACAUCACACACCGGGGCCUGUCAGGGAGUGGGGGGCUAGGGGAGGGAG